rnacentral:rRNA from 1 species
UACGGAGGGUGCAAGCGUUAUCCGGAUUCACUGGGUUUAAAGGGUGCGUAGGAGGGCAGGUAAGUCAGUGGUGAAAUCUCCAAGCUUAACUUGGAAACUGCCGUUGAUACUAUCUGUCUUGAAUAUUGUGGAGGUGAGCGGAAUAUGUCAUGUAGCGGUGAAAUGCUUAGAUAUGACAUAGAACACCAAUUGCGAAAGCAGCUCGCUACACAUAUAUUGACUCUGAGGCACGAAAGCGUGGGGAUCAAACAGG